rnacentral:lncRNA from 1 species
GGGGUAAUAAACAAAGGCCAUUUGCUCUACAGCACCCCCUCCUCAGCCCCCCACAGCUGCCGGUCUUCCAGUCUUCACAGAGGUGCAUCCUGGAAGAGAAGACAAAGCUGUCUCUACCAAAGACUGGGCCCCUAGCACCAGAGGAGGACAAAGGAGCCUUGGGGCUCUUCACACUUUGGCCUCUGUUGUGCCUCUCCUUCCCACCCUCCCACCCUCCUGGAUUGCAUCUGAUAGGGACCAAGAACACACCAGCCUGGGGAGGAGGUUUGGGUGGAUGCUUGACUUGGUUUUGAUUCCUGGGGGAGGGGGGAGGCAGGCUGGUGGCUGAGGUGGGAUGAGGAGGAAAGUAGUAGCUGCCUGUGGAAGACUUGAAGGGAGCUGGCACUGCUCUCCAGCUGCUCUCCAGCUGCUCUCCGGCUCCUCUGGAGCUCCACAAGGGUGUGUGGAGAAACUCAGGUGACCAGGGCACUGUGGAGAGGGAAGUGCUCAUCCAGGCUGCUGCCCCUGGGCAAAGCACUGUGAUCAGGAAGAGAUGCUACUUUCUAGUGAGAUACCCCGGGGUACCGCAUGCAGCAGAGCUAUUCCUGUCCAGCCCAUCACCACUGGAGAUUUUGGUGAGGUGCCAAAGGCACUGCUUGGAGCAGAGGUACAUCUGUCCAGCCCAACAUAACUGUGUUCUCCUCGUGAGCAUUUCUCAAUAAACUACAUCUCAUAUCCCAU